rnacentral:rRNA from 1 species
CGAGAAAAGCCUCUAGAUAGAAAAUAGGUGCCCGUACCGCAAACCGACACAGGUAGUCAAGAUGAGAAUUCUAAGGUGAGCGAGCGAACUCUCGUUAAGGAACUCGGCAAAAUGACCCCGUAACUUCGGGAGAAGGGGUGCUCUUUAGGGUUAACGCCCAGAAGAGCCGCAGUGAAUAGGCCCAAGCGACUGUUUAUCAAAAACACAGGUCUCUGCUAAACCGUAAGGUGAUGUAUAGGGGCUGACGCCUGCCCGGUGCUGGAAGGUUAAGAGGAGUGGUUAGCUUCUGCGAAGCUACGAAUCGAAGCCCCAGUAAACGGCGGCCGUAACUAUAACGGUCCUAAGGUAGCGAAAUUCCUUGUCGGGUAAGUUCCGACCCGCACGAAAGGCGUAACGAUUUGGGCACUGUCUCAACGAGAGACUCGGUGAAAUCAUAGUACCUGUGAAGAUGCAGGUUACCCGCGACAGGACGGAAAGACCCCGUGGAGCUUUACUGUAGCCUGAUAUUGAAAUUCGGCACAGCUUGUACAGGAUAGGUAGGAGCCUUUGAAACGUGAGCGCUAGCUUACGUGGAGGCGCUGGUGGGAUACUACCCUAGCUGUGUUGGCUUUCUAACCCGCACCACUUAUCGUGGUGGGAGACAGUGUCAGGCGGGCAGUUUGACUGGGGCGGUCGCCUCCUAAAAGGUAACGGAGGCGCUCAAAGGUUCCCUCAGAAUGGUUGGAAAUCAUUCAUAGAGUGUAAAGGCAUAAGGGAGCUUGACUGCGAGACCUACAAGUCGAG